rnacentral:miRNA from 1 species
GACGUCGAAUAUCGACGUCAUAAACACCAAAGUUGAUCGUGUUUAUGACGUCGAACAUCGACGUCAUAAACACCAAAGUUGAUCGUGUUUAUGACGUCGAAUAUCGACGUCAUAAACACCAAAGUUGAUCAUGUUUAUGACGUCGAAUAUCGACGUCAUAAACACCAAAGUUGAUCGUGUUUAUGACGUCGAAUAUCGACGUCAUAAACACCAAAGUUGAUCGUGUUUAUGACGUCGAAUAUCGACGUC